UUCAAUUGAAGAGGCGCAGUGUUCAGAGCGUGUUGAUAAGGGUGCACAACUAUUUUAGUCCGUUAUCAGUCAACACAAUGGGAAUAUUGCCGAAAUAAGGCCAGAGUGUGCAACUUGUCUUAUUGGUCACUAAGGGAGAAGCCUUAGGACUGUCAUAUAGUAAAUUUUAAUUAACGAAAUUAGGAUUUAGUUAUGUGGAGAGCUUCAAAUGCA
rnacentral:ncRNA from 2 species